ensembl:lncRNA GUSBP1 GUSB pseudogene 1
AGUUUGGGCUGUCUCUGUGGCUGGUUCUGCGGCGUGCGGCCAGCCAUGGAGCGCUCUGGGCCCAGCGAAGUGACAGGCUCAGACGCAUCGGGACCGGACCCGCAGCUUGCGGUCACCAUGGGCUUCACGGGGUUCGGUAAAAAAGCUCGCACAUUUGACUUGGAAGCAAUGUUUGAACAAACUCGAAGAACAGCUGUGGAAAGAAGUUGCAAAACACUGGGGCUGGUGAAUUACCAGAUCUCCGUCAAGUGCAGUAACCAGUUCAAGUUGGAAGUGUGUCUUUUGAAAUCAGAAAACAAAGUCGUGGACAACCAGGCUGGGACCCAGGGCCAGCUGAAGGUGCUGGGUGCCAACCUCUGGUGGCCGUACCUGAUGCACGAACACCCCGCCUACCUGUACUCGUGGGAGGAUGGUGAUUGCUCACACCAAAGCCUUGGACCCCUCCCAGCCUGUGACCUUUGUGACCAACUCCACCUACGCAGCAGACAAGGGGGCUCUGUAUGUGGAUGUGAUCCGUGUGAACAGCUACUACUCUUGGUAUCGCAACUACGGGCACCUGGAGUUGAUUCAGCUGCAGCUGGCCGCCCAGUUUGAGAACUGGUGUAAGACAUCACAAUCCCAUUAUUCAGAGCGUGUAUGGAGUGGAAACGCUUGUAGGGUUUCACCAGGAUCCACCUUGAUGUUCAGUGAAGAGUACCAGAAAAGUCUGCUAGAGCAGUACCAUCUGGGUCUCAAUCAAAAACGCAGAAAAUACGUGGUUGGAGAGCUCAUCUGGAAUUUUGCCGAUUUCAUGACUAACCAGUCCAAGGAUGAAGGAAAAACUGGACCUCAUUAUGGAUUUACUUUUGGGAUACACUCAUUAUUCCAGAGGAGGGUAAAAGGCUGAGAAGCUUAAGUUCUGCAGGCUGUACAGGAAGCACAGCGGCAUCUUCUUCUGGAGAGGCCUCAGGGAGCUUUUACUCAUGACAGAAGGCAAAGCAGGAGCAGGCACUUCACAUGGUGAAAGCAGGAACAAGAGAGAGAGAGUGUGUUGGGGUAGGUGCACUACCAUGGAGACAGCACCAAGCCACGCCUUAAGGAUUCGACCCCAUGAUCCAAACACUUCCCACCAAGCUCCACCUUCAGCACUGGGGAUCUGGUUUCAACAUGAGAUUUGGGCGGGACAUCCAAACUAUAUCAUCUGUCUCCCUCAUCCAAGACCAUGUGAUCCGUAGCUCACUUUUGUCUAGCAACAGAUUAAAUACGGCAUUUUCUGUGUGAUAUCUUUGUUGAGGUCUUUGCAGAUGCUGUUUCUUUGUCCUGAAACUUUCUUCAUCUGCUCUUUCAAAAUGAGUGACUCUUCAUCCUCGAAGUCUAUGCUUAUAUAUUGCUUUUCAGAGGAAUCUUUUCUGAACUGGGCAUUCUGCCUUCAACCAACUAUUUUCUAUUAUAGUUUCCUGUUUGUGAGUUAAUAGUCCUUUUCAAAAUUUGACUACUCAUUUACCUUCUUGGGUUAUUUGAAAUUAUCUCCUCUUCACUAGAUUCUAUAGAAGCAUAGCCAUGCCUGCCCUCUUUACUGUUUCUCUACUGACUUGUUGCAAUGAAUAUUCUCAGUAAACAUGGAAAUAAACCAGUUAUUCAGA